UCUGGCUCAGAACGAACGCUGGCGGCGUGGAUAAGACAUGCAAGUCGUGCGACAGACCAGGAAUUGAUUACUUCGGUUUGAUUUUCCUGACGAUGAGCGGCGAACGGGUGCGUAACACGUGAGAAACCUGCCUUGAAGUUCGGGAUAGCUCGGCGAAAGUCGAAUUAAUACCGGAUGUGGCCUAGGGAUAGCAUUUUCCCUUGGUUAAAGCUCGGUCACAGAGCGCUUUUAGAUGGUCUCGCGGUCUAUCAGCUUGUUGGUGAGGUAACGGCUCACCAAGGCUACGACGGAUAACUGAUCUGAGAGGAUGAUCAGUCACACUGGAACUGAGACACGGUCCAGACACCUACGGGUGGCAGCAGUCGAGAAUCAUUCACAAUGGGCGCAAGCCUGAUGGUGCGACGCCGCGUGGGGGAUGAAGGGCUUCGGUCUGUAAACCCCUGUCAUCUGUGAGUAAGGUCUCGUAUAAAAGCUACGAGGAUUGAUAUUAGCAGAAGAGGAAGGGACGGCUAACUCUGUGCCAGCAGCCGCGGUAAUACAGAGGUCCCAAGCGUUGUUCGGAUUUACUGGGCGUAAAGGGUGCGUAGGCGGUUAGAAAAGUUUGGUGUGAAAUCUUCGGGCUCAACCCGGAAACUGCACUGAAAACUAUUUAACUAGAGGAUCGGAGAGGAGAUUGGAAUUCUCAGUGUAGCAGUGAAAUGCGUAGAUAUUGAGAGGAACACCAGUUGCGAAGGCGGAUCUCUGGACGAUUCCUGACGCUGAGGCACGAAAGCUGGGGGAGCGAAGAGGAUUAGAUACCCUCGUAGUCCCAGCCGUAAACGGUGCGCACUUGCUGUGGGCGGAUUCGACCCCGUCCGUGGCGAAGCUAACGCGUUAAGUGCGCCGCCUGGGGAGUACGGUCGCAAGAUUAAAACUCAAAGAAAUUGAC
rnacentral:rRNA from 1 species